rnacentral:rRNA from 1 species
UACAGAGGUGGCAAGCGUUGUUCGGAAUUACUGGGCGUAAAGGGCGCGUAGGCGGUUCGAUAAGUCCCGUGUGAAAUUCCUCGGCUCAACUGAGGAAUGGCACGGGAAACUGACGGGCUUGAGUUCGGGAGAGGGAAGCGGAAUUCCGGGUGUAGCGGUGAAAUGCGUAGAUAUCCGGAGGAACACCGGUGGCGAAGGCGGCUUCCUGGACCGACACUGACGCUGAGGCGCGAAAGCUAGGGGAGCAAACAGG